rnacentral:rRNA from 1 species
CCUACGGGGGGCUGCAGUGGGGAAGAUUGGACAAUGGGGGGAACCCUGAUCCAGCCAUGCCGCGUGUGUGAAGAAGGCCCUCGGGUUGUAAAGCACUUUCAGUGAGGAAGAACGCCUGGUGGUUAAUACCCAUCAGGAAAGACAUCACUCACAGAAGAAGCACCGGCUAACUCCGUGCCAGCAGCCGCGGUAAUACGGAGGGUGCGAGCGUUAAUCGGAAUUACUGGGCGUAAAGCGCGCGUAGGUGGCUUGAUAAGCCGGUUGUGAAAGCCCCGGGCUCAACCUGGGAACGGCAUCCGGAACUGUCAAGCUAGAGUGCAGGAGAGGAAGGUAGAAUUCCCGGUGUAGCGGUGAAAUGCGUAGAGAUCGGGAGGAAUACCAGUGGCGAAGGCGGCCUUCUGGACUGACACUGACACUGAGGUGCGAAAGCGUGGGUAGCAAACAGGAUUAGAUACCCGUGUAGUC